AUCCUCUGGGUCACGCCCCCGAGGCCGCAAGGCGUCUGAGAAGCAGCCCCGGCUCUGACCCGCCAGCCCUCGGAAGAAGCAGACCCUGGCCGGUCCAUGGCAGUGGCCCGAGGGGCACCAGCGCGGAGCACCAGCGACCCCCAAGGAGUAAGGGGAGACGACGUUGCAGAUGAUGCUCUACCAAGAGUUGGAAGGACUCCCCAGGGAAUCCCACAAGACACUGCGCUUCCUAUGCCUCCUUUCCCUCGUUUAAAAAAUGGGGAUAAGAAGGUUGGCUACUGCUCCGACAGCCCUCACAAUGGAAGAGUAGCACUUCAUUUGUGGGUUAACAAAGGGCAACGCUGAAAUCUCCACUUCCACUAUUGAAUGGAACUGUGUCAUAAUAUCUGUUAGAGGCGUGCAAACUCGGCCACAAGGUCAUGGUCAUACGUUAUUGUUGGUCAAAAGCCGCAGCCCUACCUGAGGCUUUGAGAGAUAUGAACACCAAUGACUUUUCUUUUCCUGACUCCCGAAAUACCAAGAAAAAGCAACUUCCCCAAAUGGACAGAAACAGAAAGUACCCUUGGUUGAACACAGAGGCCUGGUUCCAGCCAUCGUUAGACGUGGGAAGGAACUCAGACCCCCUCUCCUACCUCAUCCCCAACCCCUUCCCCACACGUCACCCUUUCACAGAGAAGGAACCAGAGCCACCAAGGGCUGAGAGAGGACUUGAUAAGGAUUCCAGUCUUCUGUCUCCCCUGUCCCCACUUUUUCCACCACAAAAAUAUGGACAUUUGGAAGAAGAGGAGAAGAGGGAAGGUACACACUGUGCAAAGGAAGAAAAUGGCAGAAAUGCUCUGGAAUCAGGAAUUCAGGAGCAAGAAUGACACUGUGUGCCAGAUGGAAAUGUUGGAUUAGGAGAGCACUUGGAAAGGCAAAUAAUCUGCCAGAGAAAUUAUGGGAUGCCUGCCUUCUGAAAAUGGAGGAAAACUGCAAAAGAGUGGCUCAUUGGUGCUCACUCCUAGGGCUCUGAGCAUCCCAAGAAGCCAACUUGGUCCCAUCGUACAUCCCCUCAGAAGUAGGCAUUCUCCUCUCCACCUACAGCUGUGGCCCAGAUGUGGAGCCUGCAUGUUAUGCCACGCCGUCAACACUGAGUUCUGUCUGCGUCUCCCUGUCACAGAUCUGAUCAGCACCUGACACCUAUCCAUUCUCCAUUUCCCACCUCCCCAAAGCUGCUGGAAAAACUCUGAAAGGUACCUCUGUCACUCAUUAAGCAUCUGAUUAUGUACCUCUUUCUACAACUCCUUUGUUGCUUUGUUUUAAAAUCUAUGGCUCUUUGAAAUCACUCUCCUUCCUUUCACUGCCUAAUGUUUUCAAAGAGGAGUCUACCCCUGCCUCCACUUCCUCAUCUUACAUUUAUUCCUCAAUUCUCUGAACAGAGACCACCAGGGAAACCCCAAAUGUCAACUCCAAUGGUUUCAUUUUCUUACCUCACUACAGCAUUUGGCACCACUCCUUCUUGAAAAUCCCCUCCUUGGCUUCUCCUCCACCUCUCACCAUGAUUUCUGUUUUCUUCUUCUGGCUUCAUUUCUUCAUCAUCUCUUAAACAUUACAAUGCUUGAGAUUUCAGAUAAGGCUGCUUCUCUUCUCCCUGGGCAAUCUCAUCCAUUCCCAUCAUACUGAUCCCUCCCAAACUAUCGCCCAGACUUCUCUCUUGAGCUCCAGAUCUGUAAUUCCAAGUGUUUUCUGUACACCCAUACCUAGAUAAUCAAUCCAAAAGCCUUUUAAUUACUCCAUGACCUAAAAUAAAUUCCUCAUCUUCUCCCAAA